GACGUAGGGCGCGAGCGUUGUCCGGAAUUAUUGGGCGUAAAGAGCUCGUAGGCGGUCUGUCGCGUCGGCUGUGAAAACUCGGGGCUCAACCCCGAGCCUGCAGUCGAUACGGGCAGACUAGAGUGCUGUAGGGGAGACUGGAAUUCCUGGUGUAGCGGUGAAAUGCGCAGAUAUCAGGAGGAACACCGGUGGCGAAGGCGGGUCUCUGGGCAGUAACUGACGCUGAGGAGCGAAAGCGUGGGGGAGCGAACAGG
rnacentral:rRNA from 1 species